GGAUCUCUGUUGAUCGUAGCUGCAGUGAUGAUGUGCUGCAUCUGCAGGAAAUGUAGAAAAACAGUCCAAAACCACGAAGAAGACUCUGAUUCAGCAUUGUGUAAACCCAAAACACACAAAAAGAAAUCAAAGUCGGAGGCUGUGUAUGAAAAUGUCCCCAAAAAACGAUGAUCAAAUACCGUGUCUACUGGAACUGAUGAUAGAGCUCAUACAGGAUGCUGACUAAUACUGUUUUGGUUUUGUUCACAUUUAUUCUCUGCCUAUACAGCUGAGUUUAAUUUUGCCAAUUUGUAUCACAUCUUUUGAUUUCAUCUAAUGAAUUUUUUUUUUUUUUUUUUUUUUUUUUUUUUUUUUUUUUUUUUUUUUUUUUUUUUUUUUUUUUUUUUUUUUUUUUUUUUUUUUUUUUUUUUUUUGCAUGUGUGCUCUCAUAAGUUGUUAUUGUGAUGUCCAAAAUAUUGUUGCUUUAAUUUGAUGCCCCACAAAUAGCACAGUAUUCAGAAACUCUACUAAAUGUUUUAUAGUAUGGAAAUGUAGUUUCUUUAUUAAAAAAUAUUUCACCCUUCAGUGUGCCCUUUUGUCUGUCAUUUAUGGCUCUUGAUUUAUACUUUUUAGACAGUUUCAUUGAACAUUAAGUGCAUUAGUGGUUUACAGUAUCACCACACACAACAUCAUCAGCUGGACAUUUUAGCAAAUGUAGUACAAGCUCAUUAUCUCUCUCUAGUGUCCAAAGGAGAAAAUCACGUCCCUGAUUACAGCUCUACAUUGCUAUAAGUAGAUGCUACUGGAACCUUUCAAGAAACAACAGGCAUAAUAAGCAUACAUGCAUUUAGCAGAUACCCAUAUUAUUAAUAUGGCCCAUUUUAGGUUUCAGGUCACUAUGGUUCCAUUCCAAGGCAGUCACUGCAAUGGGAAUCUAUUAAAACCAUUAUAAGACUUUUUUUAGCUAUAACAUUAAAACAGUAAAAAGUCAUUGGAAUGAAAAGGUUAAAGGCCACUAAGGUUUUUUGCACAGUGGAUGGAUUUUUCACACCAUCCAAACUUCUAAUUGAUGGGCAGGUUUGGUCUAACGGUGAAACAGUCAGACUUGUAACUUGAAGGUUGUGGGUUCGAGUCUCAAUACUGGCAGGAGUUUUAGGUGGAGGGAGUGAAUGAACAGCACUCUCUUCCACAUACUAUACCCAUGACUGAGGUAAGACGCUUGAGCAAGGCACCCAACCCCAAAUGUAAAUGGUGUGUGUGUUCACUACUCACUGAUGUGUGUGUGCACUUGGAUGGGUUAAAUGUUGAGCACAAACUCUGAGUAUAGGUCAUCUUACUUGGCUGUCACAUUGCUCACUUUCACUUUCAAUUUCAACAAAUGAGAGUUCGCUAACAACAGCUAUAGUUUUUAUUUAUUUUACAAUAAAAUGUGGGGAAAACAUUUUUUGUUUGUUAAUAUAAUUGAAUAAUGUGUCCAUACAAAGGGAAAUGUUUACCUGUAAUAAGUCAACCAAGUACAAGCUUAAUUGUUAGAAAUAUCAGUUUCUUUCAAAACCAAACAACUGACAAUCACAAAAGUAUUGUAAGUUACAUAUGACCAUUUUGUUAUUGUUUCACCCCCUCUGUGUAAGAAGCAGUUUCUCAUCAUAAUUCUUUCUGUAGAUUAAAACAGAAGGUCUUAAAAAGCUGCUCAUAACAGCAGGACAGGAAGAAGGCUUUCACCUACAAACUAAACAUACAACAGGUUUGUCCACGCAGUAGAUCAAACCACAUUUCUGAAAGCCGACCACAGCAGGUUUCAGUUUGACUCAGAAGAUGAACCUCUGGCAAUCCUGGCAAAUGGUUUUAACUCUGUACUUUUUUUUUUUUUUUUUUUUCACAAGCAAUCAAAAAACGUAUUUAUAUACAACCAUUUUAAUACACAAAUGUUAGGCUCAGUUUUUCUAUAGUUCUUCUGAUAUCAUUAUUCUUCUACUUUAGCUUCUUAUUCUUCUAUUUAAUAGUCUGAGAACUAUCUGUAAAAAAGAAAUAUAUAUAUACAUUUAGUCUUAAUAAGGGCCAGAUGAACUAUAAAAUAAUGAAGUAUGCAAACACAGGUGUGAACAGGAGGUCCAUUGUGGGAGGAUUCACACAUCAGUGUGUUUUUACCGGAUAUUCUUCUUAGAUCAGACACUGAACAACUAAAGAAAAUGUUUCACAUGUUUGUUUUGUUCUGUUUGUGCUGGUGCGGUCAGAUUGGUAAGUUAUAAAAGCAUGUUUAUGCUGUAAUGUUUUUUUAUAUACACAUUCACAUUAUACGUCUGUCUGUUCAUAUAUCAUGCCUUUCAUUCUGUUUCGUGCCUUUGCAUGCUAUUGUAAAUGCAAAUGUAGGGGAAUGUACAGUUAAAACCCAAUGACCGUGUGUGUCGCAAUGAAGACCAGGAGUCAGAGAUUCGAUCAAUUAAUCAUAAUUUUACUGAAGAAAAUAGUUUGCAGUUUCAUCAGCAGAAGUCAGCUUCAACACUCUCGAUGGAGUUCGUAGGCUGCUCUGCGUACAACUCAAAAUCACCAACAAUUAUACUCUUGACAGAAGAUACUAAAUGUAUCAAUGCUUAGGUCAGCAAAAUUCUGAUUGGUUCCAAAACCUAGAUAAACUUAGUUUCCACAUAUGGACACAAGCUUGAAGCAUAUCUUCCGACGACUAUUUUGGUGACAAGUGAUCAGAGGUCAGACGCAAAUACGUCUCUCCAAAGACAUAUCUGAUACGCUGGACUUCGGCAGUUGAACGUUUGUCCUGGGACUGUCUGAGCUUCUCCCUGCACAGACAGAUACUAACACACAUACGCAGAAAACUUAUCAGAACUUCAAGGAGAACUAGAAUUUUAUCAGUAUGGUUCGUUACACACACACUAUGAAGUCAUCAUCUUAGAGAGUAGAAGUAUAGCAUAAAGCAGGAUUCUUUAAUAUCUCAUAAGCGCACAUAAGGUUACACAUUUCACACUUGCCAUAACUUGAUCUAUAGUCAAUUAUUGACUAUAAUGAUUAAUAUCAAUAUUAAGGAUAUGGCAGCUCGGCAUCCACUCCUUCAAAAAUGGAAAAAAAGCUAAUUUAAACCAAGUUUA
rnacentral:lncRNA from 12 species